rnacentral:rRNA from 1 species
CAGGGAAUCUUGCGCAAUGGGCGAAAGCCUGACGCAGCGACACCGCGUGGGGGAAGAAGGCCUUCGGGUUGUAAACCCCUUUUCUCGGGGAAGAGUAAGGACGGUACCCGAGGAAUAAGGUUCGGCUAACUACGUGCCAGCAGCCGCGGUAAUACGUAGGAACCGAGCGUUGUCCGGAUUUAUUGGGCGUAAAGGGCGCGUAGGCGGCUCGCUAAGUCUCAUGUGAAAUCUCCCGGCUUAACUGGGAGCGGUCAUGGGAAACUGGCAGGCUUGAGGGCAGCAGAGGAAAGUGGAAUUCCCGGAGUAGUGGUGAAAUGCGUAGAUACCGGGAGGAACACCAGUGGCGAAGGCGACUUUCUGGGCUGUACCUGACGCUGAGGCGCGAGAGCGUGGGGAGCAAACCGG